rnacentral:piRNA from 1 species
GCAGCUAUUAUCUCCUUCUGCGUUUCACUG